AUUUGAAUGUGCUUAAGUGUGUUGCCGUAGUUAUUGUCUACAAAUUUUCUGCUGAGUUUCACUCUAUCAUUGUUUGAUUAUGAAUGAUUCUCAAAGUGUUUAAUUGGCCCAAAUAAGAUCACAUGUUUCUAAGCUUGGUUUGCUCUCAGUUGAUCAUCCACACCUACUCUUUAAGUCUUAAGGACAAUUUUUUUUUGUCAAACUAUUGUUUUCAAGAUCAAGAUUUAAAUUUCACACUUCAAGUUCAAUGAAAGUUUUCCUAACUUUUUAAAAAAAUCAUUAUAAAUUUUUAAGUCCACGUGUUAAAGGCUUUACACUGAAGUUGACCUACAUGUUGACCAUCCAUCAAAUGAUGUUCUUUCCUGUGAGUCUGGCCAUCACUUCAUGUUCUGUACUGUUGGAAACAUUUCAGCAAUGUUUCAAGUGUUGCUCUGUCAUCAUGGGAAGGUCAGGGUGGACAGUGGGUGCACAGCGCAGGACCUUGAUACCAGAGAGCAGGUGUAUAAAUAGGUAGAGGUCUGUCUGCAAUGAG